ACUUAUCCAAAAUAACAUAAAACUUCUGAGUAUGCAGCGGAAUAAGGUUCUGAUUACAUGUAUGAAGACAUGUAACCCUAGAGUUCAUUAAUACAUAAUAAGAUAAAAGAGUCCCGCUCGUCACUUCAUCACCAUCGACAGCUACUCAACCUGCACAUUUAGAAAUAUAUGCAGGGCUGAGUACAAAAGUACUCAGUGGGCACGUAUGCCUAAGUAUAAAAAUAC
rnacentral:lncRNA from 1 species